CCUGCUCCUCUCCAGCUGCCUGGAGUCACACAGGUGCCACACACCCUGCCCACCACACAUUUAACCUUGUAAACUUGCUUUGACCUUGUAAGCAGGCACACUUGCCUAAACCUGCCGGAGCCGGACGCAGUGUUGCUCAGCUUCCCUGUAGCUGCCUCCUGACCCUGGGAAACUAGUGUGAAUCCUAAUUUUGAAGAUGGGAAAACUGCAGCACAGAGAGAUUCAAUAAACUGCGUCAAGUCACACAGCUGAUUUACAGUCCAUCUGGUAUUAUUUUCCUUCUACCUGAAGAAUUUCCAUCAGCA